rnacentral:rRNA from 1 species
GGUCAAGCUAGAAAGAGCGCAAGGGGAAUGCCUUGGCAUCAGGAGCCGAUGAAGGACGCGACAAGCUGCGAUAAGCUUCGGGUAGCUGCAAAUAAGCGAUGAUCCGGAGAUUUCCGAAUGGGGCAACCCGGCACGGCAAUACCGUGUCAGCGUGCACUGAAUCAAAUAGGUGUACGUGGGGAACCGCCUGAACUGAAACAUCUAAGUAGGGCGAGGAAAAGACAUCAACCGAGAUUCCGCAAGUAGUGGCGAGCGAACGCGGAGGAGGCCAAACCAGAGGUCAUUGAUCUCUGGGGUAAGGACUUGCAUCAUGAUCAGAGGUAUCUAGUCGAAUGGCGUGGGAAAGCCAACCACAGAGGGUGAGAGUCCCGUAGACGAAAGAGAAGACUGACAGCGAGUAUCCAGAGUACCGCCGGACACGUGAAACCCGGUGGGAACAUGGGAGGACCACCUUCCAAGCCUAAAUACUACCUGAUGACCGAUAGAGAAGCAGUACCGUGAGGGAAAGGUGAAAAGAACCCCGGGAGGGGAGUGAAAUAGUACCUGAAACCUUGUGCUUACAAGCAGUCAGAGCACGUUAAAGUGUGAUGGCGUACCUUUUGUAGAAUGGUCCGGCGAGUUAUAGUCACUGGCGAGGUUAAGCAAUUCAGUUGUGGAGCCGAAGGGAAACCGAGUCUUAAUAGGGCGUCGAGUCAGUGGCCAUAGACCUGAAACCGGGUGACCUAUCCAUGAGCAGGUUGAAGUUGGUGUAAAAGCCAAUGGAGGACCGAACCCACGUUCGUUGCAAUGACCGGGGAUGACUUGUGGAUAGCGGAGAAAUUCCAAUCGAACUCGGAGAUAGCUGGUUCUCCCCGAAAUAGCUUUAGGGCUAGCGUUGUGUUAGUUUACCGGAGGUAGAGCACUGAAUUGGCUAAGGGGCGAUGAGCUUACUGAACCUUAUCAAACUUCGAAUGCCGGAUAAAUGGUGCACAGCAGUCAGACAGUGUGAGAUAAGUUUCAUUGUCAAGAGGGAAACAGCCCAGACCCACAGCUAAGGUCCCAAAUGAACGCUAAGUGGAAAACGAUGUGGGGUUGCAAAAACAACCAGGAUGUUGGCUUAGAGGCAGCCACUCAUUAAAAGAGUGCGUAAUAGCUCACUGGUCGAGUGACCCUGCGCGGAAAAUAUAACGGGGCUAAGCGUCCAACCGAAGCUUGGGAUGUCUAAGGACAUGGUAGGGGAGCGUCGUGUAUAGGGAGAAGCAUGAGCGAGAGCACAUGUGGACAGUACACGAGUGAGAAUGCCGGAAUGAGUAGCGAGAAUUAUGUGGGAAUCAUAAUGGCCGAAAAUCUAAGGUUUCUUGGGGAAGGUUCGUCCGCCCAAGGUAAGCCGGGAGCUAAGGCGAGGCCGAAAGGCGUAGUCGAUGCACAUACGGUUGAAAUUCCGUAGCCGCCGAAAUUGUUAAGCACAGGGACACAUAGAGAUAUCCGAACCCGGGCGUUGGUUGACCCGGGCGCAAGGGACCGAACAUCAGUAGGGAAGUCGGAGAUGCUCUGUGGCGAGAAAAGCUGUGUGUAUUGAUUAGGCGCCCGUACCGCAAACCGACACAGGUAGAUGAGGAGAGAAUCCUAAGGCCAACGGGAGAAGGGUUGUUAAGGAACUCGGCAAAUUGACCCCGUAACUUCGGGAUAAGGGGAGCCUCCUACGGGAGGCCGCAGUGAAUAGGCCCAAGCAACUGUUUACCAAAAACACAGGUCUCUGCUAAAUCGAAAGAUGACGUAUAGGGGCUGACGCCUGCCCGGUGCCGGAAGGUUAAGAGGAGAGCUUAGCGCAAGCGAAGGUUCGAAUUGAAGCCCCGGUAAACGGCGGCCGUAACUAUAACGGUCCUAAGGUAGCGAAAUUCCUUGUCAGGUAAGUUCUGACCCGCACGAAUGGCGUAAUGAUUUGGGCACUGUCUCAACAGCCCGCCCGGCGAAAUUGUAGUACUGGUGAAGAUGCCAGUUACCCGCAACUAGACGGAAAGACCCCAUGGAGCUUUACUGUAGCCUAAUACUGAAGAUCGGUAAUGCAUGUACAGGAUAGGUGGGAGUCAGCGAAACCCGGGCGUCAGCUCGGAUGGAGGCAACCUUGGAAUACCACCCUUGUAUUGCUGGUUUUCUAACCUGCGGCCAUGAAUCUGGUCGGGGGACACUGUUAGGUGGGCAGUUUGACUGGGGCGGUCGCCUCCAAAAGCGUAACGGAGGCGCUCAAAGGUUGGCUCAGCACGGACGGAAAUCGUGCAUAGAGUGCAAACGCACAAGCCAACUUGACUGCGAGACCGACGGGUCGAGCAGGUACGAAAGUAGGAGUUAGUGAUCCGGUGGUAUGUGAGUGGAAAUGCCAUCGCUCAACGGAUAAAAGCUACCCUGGGGAUAACAGGCUGAUCUCCCCCAAGCGUCCACAGCGACGGGGAGGUUUGGCACCUCGAUGUCGGCUCGUCACAUCCUGGGGCUGUAUUCGGUCCCAAGGGUUCGGCUGUUCGCCGAUUAAAGUGGCACGCGAGCUGGGUUCAGAACGUCGUGAGACAGUUCGGUCCCUAUCUGUUGCGGGCGCAGGAGAUUUGAAGGGAGCUGUCCUUAGUACGAGAGGACCGGGAUGGACAGACCUCUGGUGCACCAGUUGUCGUGCCAACGGCACAGCUGGGUAGCUACGUCUGGACGAGAUAAACGCUGAAAGCAUCUAAGUGUGAAACUCCCCCUAAGAUAAGAUCUCCCAUCCAUUAGGAGUAAGGGACGACAGAGACUAUGUCGUUGAUAGGUCGGAAGUGUAAGUGCAGUAAUGCAUUGAGCUGACCGAUACUAAUAACCCGAGGGCUUGACCUA